GCUUCAGCAGCACGUAUGCUAAAAGCAUAUGCUAAAAUACAGUACAGAGAAGAUUAGCAUGGCCCCUGUACAUGGAUGGCAAAUUGAAAUGAGGAUUGUCGAUAUUUAA